GAUUUCCUUUUUGCAGCGCUUAUUGCGCGGCGAAAAACCUUACACACAGUGUUUUUUGUUAUUACAAGAACUUUUGCUUUGGUCUGGACUAGAAAUAGUUUGGGCCAGAGGUUUACUGAACUAAACUUCAAUAUUUAUAUUGAAUUGUUAUUUAUUUAAUUGUCAAUUUGUUGAUUAAAUUCAAAAAAUCUUCAAAACUUUCAACAACGGAUCUCUUGGUUCUCGCAUCGAUGAAGAACGCAGCGAAAUGCGAUAAGUAAUAUGAAUUGCAGAUUUUCGUGAAUCAUCGAAUCUUUGAACGCACAUUGCGCCCUCUGGUAUUCCAGAGGGCAUGCCUGUUUGAGCGUCAUUUCUCUCUCAAACCUUCGGGUUUGGUAUUGAGUGAUACUCUUAGUUGAACUAGGCGUUUGCUUGAAAUGUAUUGGCAUGAGUGGUACUGGAUAGUGCUAUAUGACUUUCAAUGUAUUAGGUUUAUCCAACUCGUUGAAUAGUUUAAUGGUAUAUUUCUCGGUAUUCUAGGCUCGGCCUUACAAUAUAACAAACAAGUUUGACCUCAAAUCAGGUAGGAUUACCCGCUGAACUUAAGCAUAUCAAUAAGCGGAGGAAAAGAAACCAACAGGGAUUGCCUUAGUAACGGCGAGUGAAGCGGCAAAAGCUCAAAUUUGAAAUCUGGCACCUUCGGUGUCCGAGAUGUGAUUUGAAAGAAAGGGAACUCUUGGAAGUUGGCUCUUGUCUAUGUUCCCUGGAAACACGACGACCCCAAAGGGCGAGAAUCCCCCUGCGGAUGAGAAGGCCCAACUCUACGUAAAUGGUUGUCCAAAAAAAAAAGACUUGUUUA
rnacentral:rRNA from 1 species